UGGGGAAUCUUGCGCAAUGGGCGAAAGCCUGACGCAGCGACGCCGCGUGGGUGAUGAAGGCCUUCGGGUUGUAAAGCCCUGUGGAGAGGGACGAAUAAGUUCGACCUAAUACGUCGGGCGAUGACGGUACCUCUUUAGCAAGCACCGGCUAACUACGUGCCAGCAGCCGCGGUAAUACGUAGGGUGCGAGCGUUAAUCGGAAUUACUGGGCGUAAAGCGUGCGCAGGCGGUUUUGUAAGACAGAUGUGAAAUCCCCGGGCUUAACCUGGGAACUGCGUUUGUGACUGCAAGGCUGGAGUACGGCAGAGGGGGGUGGAAUUCCACGUGUAGCAGUGAAAUGCGUAGAGAUGUGGAGGAACACCGAUGGCGAAGGCAGCCCCUGGGCCUGUACUGACGCUCAUGCACGAAAGCGUGGGGAGCAAACA
rnacentral:rRNA from 1 species